rnacentral:rRNA from 1 species
GGCCGCGGGAAUUCGAUUGCAUAUCAAUAAGCGGAGGAAAAGAAACUAACAAGGAUUCCCCUAGUAACGGCGAGUGAAGAGGGAAGAGCCCAAGAUUGAAAGCUGGCGUCUUCGGCGUCCGCAUUGUAAUCUCAAGAAGUGUUUUCCGCUUCGGACCAAGCCUAAGUCCCCUGGAAAGGGGCAUCAUAGAGGGUGAUAAUCCCGUACAUGGCUUGGAGCGCCCGUAGCUUUGUGAUACACUUUCUAAGAGUCGAGUUGUUUGGGAAUGCAGCUCAAAAUGGGUGGUAAAUGCCAUCUAAGGCUAAAUAUUGGGGAGAGACCGAUAGCGAACAAGUACAGUGAUGGAAAGAUGAAAAGAACUUUGAAAAGAGAGUUAAACAGUACGUGAAAUUGCCAAAAGGGAAGGGUAGGAGGUCAGAGAUGCGGCCUAGGAUUCAGCCUUGCUUUUGCUUGGUGUUUUUCCUAGAUUGCAGGCCAACGUCGGUUCUGGGCACUGGAGAAGGGUGGAAGGAACGUGGCACCUCUCGGGGUGUGUUAUAGCCUUCUACUGGAUACAGCGACCGAGACCGAGGACAGCAGCGUACUCGCAAGAGCGGGCCUUCGGGCACCUUUACGCUUAGGGCGUUGGCAUAAUGGCCCUCUACCACCCGUCUUGAAACACGGACCAAUCACUAGUGAAUUC